rnacentral:rRNA from 1 species
UACAGAGGUGGCAAGCGUUGUUCGGAAUUACUGGGCGUAAAGGGCGCGUAGGCGGUCCUGUAAGUCUUGUGUGAAAUCCCUCGGCUUAACUGAGGAACUGCACGAGAUACUGCGAGACUUGAGUUCGGGAGAGGAAAGCGGAAUUCCGGGUGUAGCGGUGAAAUGCGUAGAUAUCCGGAGGAACACCGGUGGCGAAGGCAGCCCUCUGGGCUAACACUGACGCUGAGGCACGAAAGCGUGGGGAGCAAACAGG